CCUGCCUGGAGCUGGGCUUCCCUAGUCAUGGGCUGGCUGGAAUCAUUGUCACCCAGCUAUGAGGAAUCAAACAUCUAGUGACCUCACUUAAAUGGCUAGAAGAGAAACUGAAAUGUUCUCAACAC